rnacentral:rRNA from 1 species
AACGAACGCUGGCGGCAUGCCUAACACAUGCAAGUCGAACGAGACCUUCGGGUCUAGUGGCGCACGGGUGCGUAACGCGUGGGAACCUGCCCUUAGGUUCGGAAUAACUCCCCGAAAGGGGUGCUAAUACCGGAUAAUGUCUUCGGACCAAAGAUUUAUCGCCUUUGGAUGGGCCCGCGUUGGAUUAGCUAGAUGGUAGGGUAAAAGCCUACCAAGGCGACGAUCCAUAGCUGGUCUGAGAGGAUGAUCAGCCACACUGGGACUGAGACACGGCCCAGACUCCUACGGGAGGCAGCAGUGGGGAAUAUUGGACAAUGGGCGAAAGCCUGAUCCAGCAAUGCCGCGUGAGUGAUGAAGGCCUUAGGGUUGUAAAGCUCUUUUACCCGGGAUGAUAAUGACAGUACCGGGAGAAUAAGCUCCGGCUAACUCCGUG